CAUUGUUGCAAAAAAAUUAAAUUUUGUAAGAGAGAUUUCUAUAACGUACUAAACAUAACUACGAAAAAAUUCAAAAUUUUGAAUAAUUGCAUGAGUUGAGUUAAAUGCAAGGACAAAAAAUUGUACGAAAAAUAUUUGAGGAACAAACUUGUUGAACUAUUUUAGAGAUUAAAAAUAAAUUUUCAGAUAUUUAUCAGAACCAAACAGUUAUUUAACCUUAUAAUUAAAUUAACAUGAAAUAUGAUACGGUUUUUAAUAUUUGAGAGAGAUACCAGAAUCAAACUAAACUCUCAAGUACGACCGUUCACCAAAUUUAGAAGCGUUGAUAAAAAUUACUUACUGCAGUUUGUUAUAGAAAUAAUUAUGGAAAAAACAAUAAUCAUAGCAUAAAUAAAUAUAUAAACUUCAGCCAUGUUUUCUCUUUUAUGAAUCUAGAAAUAGGAAUUGGUUGAUCAUUUUAUA
rnacentral:lncRNA from 1 species